GAAUCCACCGGGGUGCAGCGAGGCUGUGGAAAGUCCCACCCAGAACGUGAGUUUUAACUUCUAGUCAUGGCGAAUGAUCGCAGGAGAGCACAGACUGGACCCUGCUACGAUCUCUCUUGGAGUGGAUCAGACUGAUGAUCACCAACAACCAACUCAUUCCCGGAUAAGGAAGAAGAGAGUGUCACCUACUUCAGUGUGGUUUCAACCCUACUUCUGCAUCUUAAAGACACUUGUACAACGUUGGACACUGUGCAGGAUGAUGCCACUUCAUCUUGGAUGCUAAUCUGCCAUGUUGACUUCUGAUUAACCCCAGGCCCAGGAAUGCCUCAAGAUUUCUACUUUACUUACUGUUGCUUGUGUAAGCCAAGACAACCUUGAUGUUAUCAUAAACAUGUACUUACCUAAGUCCUGUCCUUUGGCAAAUUAUGGGCUAUGAGACACAGCAUUCUUGCCUUUCCCUGAGGGGUCAAUUUCAGCGAUCCUACACAUUCCUUCUGAAGCACUUAUGCUCUUUCUAUAUGGUAUGUAAGCUCUCGGUCUGGGGAGUAACAGUGCAGAGAUCUACCUGUCUUGUUGCCACAUGUUUCUAAACUUUCCAAUAAAUCACCUUCUACUGACAA
rnacentral:lncRNA from 1 species